rnacentral:rRNA from 1 species
UGCCAGCAGUCGCGGUUAAACCAAGAGAUUUAGUCAUUCUUUACGGUAAAAAGACAGUUAGGCAGCAGAUUAGAGCCAUUAGACCCUUAGUAUAGGAGUAAAAUCUAGAUACUAGUAGUUAUACCGAAGGUGGUUUAUUUGAGAUGCUGAGGCUGUGAAAGCUUUAAGGGAAACUGGGAUUGGAUACCCCACUAUUUUUAGCUAUAAAUUUACUUUUAAUAUACCAGAGUACUACGAAUAAAAAGUUUAAAACUCAAAGGGCUUGGCGGUGUUUUAGACCUCUCAGGGGAACCUGUCUCAUAAUCGACAGUCCACGUUAAACCUAACCCUUUAUAGUAAUUCAGCUUGUAUACCGUCGUCGUCAGGUAACUUCUUAAAAUAUAGUAGUUAGCUAGAAAAUUUUAUUGAUUAAAACGUCAGAUCAAGGUGCAGCCAAUGAAAGGGGGAGGAUGGGUUACAAUUAUAGAUUUAUAAUUACGGAAAGGGCUUAGAAAUAAAGCAACUUAAAGGAGGACUUGAAAGUAAUUUUAAUUACAUAAAUAGGAUGAAUGCGGCUCUGAAACGUGCACACAUCGCCCGCCGCUCU